rnacentral:lncRNA from 1 species
AGGCAAAUUCAAAUUCUGUCCCAGAAUGAAAAAACAGAGAAAACUGGAAACAAAUUUUUUAAAGUAACACAAGAGAAUUUCCCGUAACUAAAAGAGCUGAGUUUCCACACUGAAAAGGUCAGCCAAGUACUGAGCACAAUAGACCCUUCCUCUAGGAAAAAUACCACUAUGGCAUUUCAGAAUACUAGGGACUAAGAGAGCUACAUACUUAUAGAGAAAGAAAAACAGAUUCACAUAUAAAGGAAUAGGAAUGGCUUCAAAAACAACGAACACUAGAAGCAGAGCAAUGCCUUUAGCUAGCCAAACAAUUCCAAAUAAGGGUACAAUAAGGGUUUUUCCAAGUAUGUUAGGCCUCAAAUAAACUUUCCCUGCACAUUCUCUCAAGAAGCUACAAAAAGGAAAAGACUUACUAUGUAGGGAACAGCUCUAUGAACAUCUUUAUAACAAGUACAACAAAAUGUUCCAAAAUACCUUCGACAUCUUCCCAAGUCAAUCCACAUAUGUCUACCAAUCUUCAUCCACUGGGUGUCUUGGAACAUAUCCUCCACAGAUAAGGAGGGACUACCAUAUCUGUGAUUACCUGACCAGUCCCCUGCUAGACAUGUAAGUCAUCUUCAAUUUCCUCUAAGUAUAGCAUUGCAGAAAACCUUUUGAAAGUAUUUGCAUGCUGAAGAGAGGGAGAAAGUUGUUUCCAACUCCCUUCUCAGUAUAUACUUACUUAUAAAUAAAAUAUUAAAUGAUACCUAAAAUUCAAGGGAAUUUGUAUUAACUUUCCUUUGAGAAUCUAGAAAGAACUUCGUAUUCCCUCUGCUGGGCUACCCCAGACCAAGGUUAGGAAUCACUCUCUAAGAUUAAUAUCUCAUAGAAAAUUAGGGGUUGUGUUAUGCUUCCAAGUUGCUCCUAAUUUGUGUCAUGCUUUCCAAUACGCUUGGCUUUAUGUUCCCUAUGUUAAGUGGUUAUUUUCUGAUAACUUCAACUCAUGAACAAAAUUUCAUAAUACAAUGAAAAUGAGUAAAUUUUAAAAAUAAUUCUGUUAAGUUCACUUUUAUAGGCAUGAACAAAAAUGUAUAUUAAGGGGCUAUACCCUUUAAGCCUUCAAGGCAGCUCUGGAGUGCUUGGAAUGUUCCAUUUUUUGGAUCAUGAUAUAUUCAUUUUGUGAAAUUUCACUUAUGAUUUUAUCUUUUCUGUUUCAAAAUACAUUUACUAAAAGUAAGUCUCCAUUAUUUGAUUCUCAUAUUUUUAAUUUCACACUGAUUCAAUGACAAAUUAUUCAGUAACAGUGGCCCAGAUGGUUGACAAUUCCGAGUAAUCAUGUUGGUAACAUAUUACCAUACUGUAAUACUGUCAAUAUUAAAAAGCUCUGAAUAACAAAUGAGAUAUUUAAAAGUUUAUUUUGGUGUUUUCUCUUAGAGUUCAAGGGCAGGGAUUUUUUUAAUUGACAAAUAAUAAUUGUACAUAUUCAUGGGGUUACUGUGUUUCAAUACAUGUGCAAUCGAAAUGUGUUUAAAUACAUAUCAUGUAGUGAUGAGAUCAAGGUAAUUAGCAUAUCAAUCUCAAACAUUUAUCAUUUGUGUUGGAAAAACGUUUAAUAUCCUCCUUCUGGCUACUCGAAACUACUUACUAUUGUUAACCAGUCAUCCUACAGGGCUACACAACGCCAGGACUUAAUCUUCCUAUCCAGUUUUAAUUAUGUAUCCUUUAACAAAUCUCUUCCUAUCCUCCCAAGUUCUCCCUACCCCUCUCAGCCUUCAGUAGCCUCUGUUCUACUUUUGACUUCUAUGACAUCAACUUUCUUUUGCUUCCACAUGUGUGAAAACAUAAGAUGUUUAUCUUUCUGUUCUUGGCUUAUUUCACUUAACAUGACUUCCAGUUCCAUCGAUGUUGCUGCAAAUGACAGGAUUUCAUUCUUUUUUAUGGCUAACCACAUUUUCUUUAUCCAGUCAUCUGUUGUUGGACACCUAGGUUGAUUCUGUAUCUUGGUUACUGUGAACAGUGCUACAGUAAACAUUAGGGUACAGAUAUCUCUUCAAUAUAAUGAUGUCUUUUCCUUUCAAUACAUACCUGAUAGGGGGAUUGCUGGAUCAUAUCGUUGUUCUGUUUUUAGUUUUUCGAGGAACCUCCAUACUGUUUUCCAUAGUGGAUAUACUAGUUUAAAUUCUAACCAACAGUAUAUAAAGAGUUCCCUUUUCUGAGUAUCCUUGCCAGUAUUCGUUAUUUCUUCCUCUUUUAUGUAAGUCAUCCUAACUGAGUGAGACACCUCACUGCUGUUUUGAUUUGCAUUUCCCCAAUGAUUAGUGAUGUUGAGCAUUUUUUCAUAUAUUUAUUGGCCAUUUGUAUGUUUUGAGAAAUGUCUGUUCAGAUCAUCUGCCCAUUUGUUAGUAAGAUCUGUUUUUUUCUGUUGGGAUGACUGAGUUCCUUGUACAUUUUGGACAUUUAAUUCCCUAUCAAAUAAGUAGUUAGCAAAUAUUUUCUCCCAUUCUGUAGGAUGUCUUCACUGUUGUUUCCCUUGCUAUGGAGAACUGUUUUAAUUUGAUGUAACCCCAUUUGUUUAUUCUUGCUUGUGCUUUUGAGGUCUUAUUUGUAAAAUCUUUUCCCAGUCAAUGUCUGGAAUUAUUUCCUCUAUGGUUUUUUUCUAGUAGUUUUAUCAUUUCAGGUCAUAUAUGUAGGUCUUUGAUCUAUUUUGAGUUGAUUUUCAGAUAGGCUAAGAGGUGGGGUUCUAAUUUCAUUUCUUCUGCAUAUAGAUUUCCAGUUUUCCCAGCAUCAUUUAUUGAAGAGACUGUUCUUGCCACAGUGAGUGUUCUUGGCACCUUUGUCAAAAUAAGUUGCCUAUAGAUAUAUGGAUUAAUUUCUGAGUUCCCUAUUCUGUUCCUUUGGUCUAUGUGUCUGUUUUUAUGCCAGUACCGUACUGUUUUAGUUACUACAGCUCUCUAGCAUAUUUUGAAGUCUGGUACUACGAUACGUCCAGCUUUGUUCUUUUUGCUUAGGAUUGCUUUGGCUAUUUUAAGUCUUUUUUGGUUUCACAAAAAUUUUAGGAUUUUUUUUUUUUUUUUUUGAAACAGGGUCUUGUUCUGUUGCCUGGGCUGGAGUGCAGUAGCGGUCAUAGCUCACUGUAACCUCAAACUCCUGGAUCAAGUGAUCCCCACACCUUAGUCUCCCAAGUAGCUUGGACUAUAGGUGCACGACACCACACCUGGCUAGUUCUUGCAUUUUUUUGUAGAGAGAUCUCACUAUGACAGUCUCAAACUCCUGGCCUCAAGUGAUCUCCUGCCUUGGUUUUCUAAAGUGGUGGGAUUACAGGCGUGAGCCACCUUGCCUAUCCAGAUUUUUUUCUUCCAGUGACAUUCUGUUUUGAAUGUCACUCGUAUUUUGAUACAGAUUGCACUGAAUCUGUAGAUUGCUUUGGAGAGUACUGCCACUUUAACAAUAUUAAUUAUUCUGAUCCAUGAGCUUGGGAUGUCUUUCCCUUUGUAUCCUGUUCAGUUUCUUUCAUCAGUAUCUUAUAAUCUUCCUUAUGGGGGUCUUUCACUUGUUUGGUUAAAUUUAAUUCUUAGUUAUCUUAUUUAUUUGGCACUAUUGUAAAUGGGAUUGCUUUCUUGAUUUCUUUUUCAGCUAGUUCACUGUGUACAGAAACACUAUUGUUUUGGAUAUUUAAUAUCCUGUAAUUUUCCUGAAUCAGUUUAGCAGUUCUUUUUUUUUGAGACAGAGUCUUGCUGUCACCCAGGGUGGAGUGCGAUGGCACAAUCUCGGUUCACUGCAACCUCCACUUCCUGGAUUCAAGCAAUUCUUGUGCCUCAGCCACCUAACUAGCUGGGAUGAAAGGCAUGCACCACCACCCCUGGCUAAUU